CGUCUAUAUACGUAUAGCAUAUCAAUAAGCGGAGGAAAAGAAACUAACAAGGAUUCCCUUAGUAACGGCGAGUGAAGCGGGAAGAGCUCAAAUUUGAAAUCUUCAAGGUUCUACCUUGACGAAUUGUAGUUUAAAGAAGUGUUUUCUGUUAGAGGAGUAGCGAAAGUUCCUUGGAAUGGGACAUCAUAGAGGGUGAGAAUCCCGUAUUUGGUUAUUCUUUCUAGCUUUGUGAUACACUUUCAAAGAGUCGGAUUGUUUGGGAAUGCAGUCCAAAAUGGGUGGUAAAUUUCAUCUAAAGCUAAAUAUUGGCGAGAGACCGAUAGCGAACAAGUACCGUGAGGGAAAGAUGAAAAGAACUUUGAAAAGAGAGUUAAACAGUACGUGAAAUUGUCAAAAGGGGAGCGUUUGACACCAGUGUUGUUUUUCCGAAAAUCAAUUAAGAGUGGCUUGAUUUUGUGUUGUAUUGACCUUAUCAGCUUUCUUCACUCUUUUUCGAGUCUUUCUUAAUGCACUUUUCGGUUAACAAGUCAACAUCAAUUUCUUUUGUUGUAAAAGGGUAUUUGGAAGGUGGCUUUCUUUUCGGAGAAAGUGUUUAUAGCCUUAUACCUCUACAAUCGGAGAGAUUGAGGUCUGCAGCGUAGAUCCUUCGGGGCUAGAUACACUUGUGCUAAGUUAUAGCUUUUCAUAGACAACUUGUUGACUAUGUUUAGUCAUGUAGCUUACCCGCUUGUGCUAUUUUACCUACGCUUAGGAUGUUGAGUCAUCACACAUCUCU
rnacentral:rRNA from 1 species